rnacentral:rRNA from 1 species
AGAGUUUGAUCCUGGCUCAGAACGAACGCUGGCGGCGCGCCUAAUACAUGCAAGUCGAACGAGAAUGUGUAGCAAUACACAUGUACAGUGGCGAACGGGUGAGGACUACAUGGGUAACCUACCCUCGAGUGGGGAAUAACUAGCCGAAAGGUUAGCUAAUACCGCGUACGCUUCCCAGACUGCGGUUUGGGAAGGAAAGCGAUACCGUGGGUAUCGCGCUCUUGGAUGGGCUCAUGCCCUAUCAGCUUGUUGGUGAGGUAACGGCUCACCAAGGCUUCGACGGGUAGCUGAUCUGAGAGGAUGAUCAGCCACACUGGCACUGCGACACGGGCCAGACUCCUACGGGAGGCAGCAGUAAGGAAUAUUGCGCAAUGGGCGAAAGCCUGACGCAGCGACGCCGCGUGGGGGAUGAAGGUCUUCGGAUUGUAAACCCCUUUCGGGAGGGAAGAUGGGAUGGGGUAACCCAUUCGGACGGUACCUCCAGAAGCAGCCACGGCUAACUUCGUGCCAGCAGCCGCGGUA